rnacentral:rRNA from 1 species
CAGCAGUGGGGAAUAUUGCACAAUGGGCGCAAGCCUGAUGCAGCCAUGCCGCGUGUAUGAAGAAGGCCUUCGGGUUGUAAAGUACUUUCAGCAGUGAGGAAGGUGGGUAUGUUAAUAGCAUACUCAUUUGACGUUAGCUGCAGAAGAAGCACCGGCUAACUCCGUGCCAGCAGCCGCGGUAAUACGGAAGGUGCGAGCGUUAAUCGGAAUUACUGGGCGUAAAGCGCAUGCAGGUGGUUUGUUAAGUCAGAUGUGAAAGCCCGGGGCUCAACCUCGGAAUUGCAUUUGAAACUGGCAAACUAGAGUACUGUAGAGGGGGUAGAAUUUCAGGUGUAGCGGUGAAAUGCGUAGAGAUCUGAAGGAAUACCGGUGGCGAAGGCGGCCCCCUGGACAGAUACUGACACUCAGAUGCGAAAGCGUGGGGAGCAAACAGGAUUAGAUAGCCUGGUAG